rnacentral:rRNA from 1 species
UAACUGACGCUAAAGCUCGAAGGUGCGGGUAUCGAACAGGAUUAGAUACCCUGGUAGUCCGCACGGUAAACGAUGGAUGCCCGCUGUUGGCGAUACAAUGUCAGCGGCCAAGCGAAAGCGUUAAGCAUCCCACCUGGGGAGUACGCCGGCAACGGUGAAACUCAAAGGAAUUGACGGGGGCCCGCACAAGCGGAGGAACAUGUGGUUUAAUUCGAUGAUACGCGAGGAACCUUACCCGGGCUUGAACUGCAGCAGAACGAUUCAGAGAUGAUGAGGCCCUUCGGGGCUGCUGUGGAGGUGCUGCAUGGUUGUCGUCAGCUCGUGCCGUGAGGUGUCGGCUUAAGUGCCAUAACGAGCGCAACCCUUUUCGCCAGUUGCCAGCAUGUUGAGGUGGGCACUCUGGGGAUACUGCCACCGUAAGGUGUGAGGAAGGUGGGGAUGACGUCAAAUCAGCACGGCCCUUACGUCCGGGGCUACACACGUGUUACAAUGGGGCAUACAGAAGGCCGGUCGCCCGCAAGAGCGAUCAAAUCUUAAAAGUGUCCCUCAGUUCGGAUUGGGGUCUGCAACCCGACCCCAUGAAGCUGGAUUCGCUAGUAA